rnacentral:rRNA from 1 species
UACGUAGGGUGCGAGCGUUGUCCGGAAUUAUUGGGCGUAAAGAGCUCGUAGGCGGCUUGUCACGUCGGAUGUGAAAGCUCGGGGCUUAACCCCGAGUCUGCAUUCGAUACGGGCUAGCUAGAGUGUGGUAGGGGAGAUCGGAAUUCCUGGUGUAGCGGUGAAAUGCGCAGAUAUCAGGAGGAACACCGAUGGCGAAGGCAGAUCUCUGGGCCGUAACUGACGCUGAGGAGCGAAAGCAUGGGGAGCGAACAGG